UACGUAGGGUGCAAGCGUUAAUCGGAAUUACUGGGCGUAAAGCGUGCGCAGGCGGUUAUGUAAGACAGUUGUGAAAUCCCCGGGCUCAACCUGGGGAACUGCAUCUGUGACUGCAUUGCUGGAGUGCGGCAGAGGGGGAUGGAAUUCCGCGUGUAGCAGUGAAAUGCGUAGAUAUGCGGAGGAACACCGAUGGCGAAGGCAAUCCCCUGGGCCUGCACUGACGCUCAUGCACGAAAGCGUGGGGAGCAAACAGG
rnacentral:rRNA from 1 species